AUGGUGGAGCCGACCUCAAUGUGCUCUCUGUGGAAGCAUUCCGCUUGCUUCAUGUGGACCCUUUCUCUGGAGUCAUCGACGGAUCCACCUCCCCGUCACCUUCGGCACCCGCGACAACUGCUGCACGGAGCUUAUCGAUUUCUACAUCGCCCGCAUCACCUUCCGUACAAUGCCAUUGUUGGGUACCCGGCCUUGGCCAAGUUCAUGGCAGCAACUCACCUUGCCUACAACCUCAUGAAGAUGCAGGGAAGCAGCGGCAUCCUCACUGUGGCAGGAGACACCAAGGCCACGCUGUUGGCCCUCAAGCUCGCCUUCAGGGCUGUGGCGGCCGCACGCUCAAGUGAGGAAGGAGACCCGAAGGCUCCGGGGGCUGCUCCAGCAAAGAAGAAACAAUUGUUCUCUCAAGAUCGUGCCGAGACGAAGCAGGUGCCGGUUGAUGAAGACGGGGCAUCAGGCGCCACCUUCACCAUAUGCGUCAGUCUCCCUCUAGAUUAA
rnacentral:rRNA from 1 species